AGCGGCAGACGGGUGAGUAACACGUGGGAACGUACCCUUUUCUACGGAAUAACCCAGGGAAACUUGGACUAAUACCGUAUGUGCCCUUCGGGGGAAAGAUUUAUCGGAAAAGGAUCGGCCCGCGUUGGAUUAGCUAGUUGGUGGGGUAAAGGCCUACCAAGGCGACGAUCCAUAGCUGGUCUGAGAGGAUGAUCAGCCACAUUGGGACUGAGACACGGCCCAAACUCCUACGGGAGGCAGCAGUGGGGAAUAUUGGACAAUGGGCGCAAGCCUGAUCCAGCCAUGCCGCGUGAGUGAUGAAGGCCUUAGGGUUGUAAAGCUCUUUCACCGGAGAAGAUAAUGACGGUAUCCGGAGAAGAAGCCCCGGCUAACUUCGUGCCAGCAGCCGCGGUAAUACGAAGGGGGCUAGCGUUGUUCGGAUUUACUGGGCGUAAAGCGCACGUAGGCGGAUCGAUCAGUCAGGGGUGAAAUCCCAGAGCUCAACUCUGGAACUGCCUU
rnacentral:rRNA from 1 species